rnacentral:rRNA from 1 species
UACGGGGGGGGCAAGCGUUGUUCGGAAUUACUGGGCGUAAAGGGCGCGUAGGCGGCCUGCUAAGUCGGAUGUGAAAUCCCUCGGCUCAACCGAGGAACUGCAUCCGAUACUGGCGGGCUUGAAUCCGGGAGAGGGAUGUGGAAUUCCAGGUGUAGCGGUGAAAUGCGUAGAUAUCUGGAGGAACACCGGUGGCGAAGGCGGCAGCCUGGACCGGUAUUGACGCUGAGGCGCGAAAGCUAGGGGAGCAAACGGG